UUCCUUCCACGUGACCUACAACUAUUAG
rnacentral:piRNA from 1 species